CGCUCGCCCCUGCGCCGCUAUUUACUUUGAAACCCGAUUAGAAUGGACCGUCUAUUGUCGCUAAAGAGGAAGAAACCCCGGUUAGACCGGGUGAAAAGCUAAGGGCGAGCAGAACGCAUGUGAAAUAAAUAGUGGCGCGGGGUGAAAGGGGCUCGAGUCGAACCCCGGAAAGUUUUGGGACGCUUUUGUUCAAAGCUGUAGUCUUAAUUAGGCUACGAAUGUAGGCUGCCCCGAUAUGUGAGCGCUCUUCCUCCAGCAAACAUUUCAUCGCUUAUUUAUUCCAUCACCAAGUGUUCAUGGAAAUCACAUCGAUCCGAUGAUCAACAAUAAAAUGCACGCAUUCGUCGUGUAGUUCUCAGUGAACGGUGCAAAAGACCAAGUAAAAGUACUGGGAUGCGCGCGAGCUGCUGCCAGGUUGGCCGCUGUACAGCGUCUGUAUAAUGGGAUGCGAUAUCAUGAUGGAGAGAGGGAAUAAAAUUGAGGUCGAUAGCUUAGACACAGAGGGCGAAGCCUAAUGUUUUGACACUUAAAAGGUGAUUCUGAAUGUUAUUGUUUACCGGUGUUGUUUUAUUGAUCCAAUAAGGGCGGAAGUUCCUGCUGUAAUGGCAAAGCAAACCGGCUUUUUUUGUGCAUGAAUACUGAAGCUCGCGCUUCACUUCAGGCUUUACAGGCUUAUAAUGUCUGGAUCGGGCUGCCAUCUAGCGUACAGUAGCUAGACAAUUACAGGCAAAUGGCAGUGAAUAAUUUAUUGUUAGCGGGUAUUUUACAAAAGAUUGCUUAGAAUUUUUUUUUAUUUUUAGCAUUUAGGGAAAAUUGCUUUAUUUAUGUAUUUUUUUUAAAGCAUUGACUGGAUUUCCGGCAACUCAGUUCAGUGAUAAUGCCUUUGGUAAGAAAUUAUUCAGAGCAUUUGGCACAAGUUUGAAAUGAGCGAUUAUUAGUUCGGAAGCAUUGUUUUUUAAAUGAAUCGGUUAAAGAGAUCUGAUCUUAUAUUGCGUAAAUACCAAUAUUUAGAGGAUAUGAGCUAUAAAACCUGACGUAAACGCGUGUGUACAGACAGAUUAGAGCGAAACAUGAUUUCGGAAGUUAGACAUUAAGGAGGAUGAAAACACGCGACGCGGCUGUUUGGUGAAAGAGUGUUUGCGCAGAGUUUGCCCUCGUCUCGUCUCUUCUGCAAACGCACCGCGCUGCCCUCUGUCCUCUGCAAAAAAAAAAAAAAAAAAGAAAAAAAAAAGGUGAAACGAACGGGAUUAAAUCAGACAAAGGGCAAACUUCUGUAAGUGUAUCAUCAAGAUUUUACUCCACAGACUGGGAAGAGAGCGAGGGAGAGGCGAGAGAGAGGGAGAGGGGCAGCGAAUGGGAACGCAAGGCGAAGGCAGGGGAACAGCGAGAGAGGAGAGGAGAGGAGAGGAGAAGAGGGAGAAGUGGACACCGCUGCAAAGAGACGCCGCUACACACACUGCAGCACUCCAGCGUGUCGUGGAAUUCCUCUCCUAUCACACAGGUUUGGCUAACAGUGAAACUUGAGCAGCUGCAGCUCUAUCAGAUCUGAGGAGGAAAGAAUGCAGCAGUCAUUCCUAAACACACACAUUCCUCUAGGCAAGCUUUAUAAUUCUCCCUGUCCGAAACAUGCAUUACAACUUUAAUUUCAUGUUGAAUAAUAAUAAAAAAAACCACAAAAUGUAUUCACAGUUGUGUUCUUCCCGGGCUUCUUGCAUAACAACUGCAUUGUUUUGGGAAAUGUACAUUAAGUGUCUUGAAUACCUGUGUAGAGAUACAUAAACUAAAUAAACAACUAUAAUGUAAAUACUGAGCAUGUAUAUACUGUUACAGCUGGAUUGCAGCAGUACUUUUAUAUAAAUGUAUAUAUAGAAAGUACACAAGUGUAUGUUGACACAAGUGUAUGCUGACAUCAGUUCUCUCAUGUGUAACAGGGAAAGAUAAAUUCAUUUGCACUGAUUUGCCAACGAGAUUUUCUUUCUGAUUGUAUGUACAUACCAACGCAGUAAAUGUUUUUCUGUAUAGUUUCUAUGUAAGCUUACAUAGAAAGUUUUAUACAUAGUAACUGAAUUUAGCAGUAAACCCACUGACUUUAAUAAUUUUGAUAAAACACAAAGGCAAAAGAAAAAGUCAACAAACAUAAAGGAGAUGGAAAGAAGAAAGAAAAAAUAAAAGAAGAAGAAAGAAAAUUAAAAAAAGGGAAAAGCAAGUAAGUAAGAAUAAAGAUAAAUUAAUUCAGCCACGUCUUUUAUUAUCCUAAUCAUGACUGCACAGUAUGUGGCUGCUAAAUAUCUCCUCAUAUUACAAAAUGAUAAUUGGCUUACUUAAUGUUCACUGUUAUCAUUUGAUGCUAAUGUCAUGUCUGACAGAGCACAGAGAACGAGUAUGAUACCACUUGGUCCCUCGUUGUGUCGUGCACUUUCCCUUCUAGGUAUUUGUGACUCAGCCGUGCCAGCAUGAACAAAAGCUAUGCCUCUUCAUCUAUCAGAGCAUGGUUAAAGGUAAGUGGCACCCCCUAUUAGGAUGACAAGGAAAUUAAUGUCUGUCCCCUGGUUCUGUAUUACUUAUUUAUAGGUUAGCACCCUUUCCUUGCUUUGGGCAUGUCUGUUACAAUUUUUGAGAGCACAGGUGAACACCAUAUACACCUGAGAUUACAACUGGCAUGAAAGCAGAUAUACAGUGUAUUGUUAAUCUCCACAAAUUGUUACUGUGACUAAUCCUUUAGUGUAUUUGUACAGGACACUGCUGAAGGAAACAUCAUGUAUUUGAAUGAAAUAAAUUGACCACAAGCAUGUA